UUUUAUGAGAGUUUGAUCCUGGCUCAGGACGAACGCUGGCGGCGUGCCUAAUACAUGCAAGUCGAACGCUUCUUUUUCCACCGGAGCUUGCUCCACCGGAAAAAGAGGAGUGGCGAACGGGUGAGUAACACGUGGGUAACCUGCCCAUCAGAAGGGGAUAACACUUGGAAACAGGUGCUAAUACCGUAUAACAAUCAAAACCGCAUGGUUUUGAUUUGAAAGGCGCUUUCGGGUGUCGCUGAUGGAUGGACCCGCGGUGCAUUAGCUAGUUGGUGAGGUAACGGCUCACCAAGGCCACGAUGCAUAGCCGACCUGAGAGGGUGAUCGGCCACAUUGGGACUGAGACACGGCCCAAACUCCUACGGGAGGCAGCAGUAGGGAAUCUUCGGCAAUGGACGAAAGUCUGACCGAGCAACGCCGCGUGAGUGAAGAAGGUUUUCGGAUCGUAAAACUCUGUUGUUAGAGAAGAACAAGGAUGAGAGUAACUGUUCAUCCCUUGACGGUAUCUAACCAGAAAGCCACGGCUAACUACGUGCCAGCAGCCGCGGUAAUACGUAGGUGGCAAGCGUUGUCCGGAUUUAUUGGGCGUAAAGCGAGCGCAGGCGGUUUCUUAAGUCUGAUGUGAAAGCCCCCGGCUCAACCGGGGAGGGUCAUUGGAAACUGGGAGACUUGAGUGCAGAAGAGGAGAGUGGAAUUCCAUGUGUAGCGGUGAAAUGCGUAGAUAUAUGGAGGAACACCAGUGGCGAAGGCGGCUCUCUGGUCUGUAACUGACGCUGAGGCUCGAAAGCGUGGGGAGCAAACAGGAUUAGAUACCCUGGUAGUCCACGCCGUAAACGAUGAGUGCUAAGUGUUGGAGGGUUUCCGCCCUUCAGUGCUGCAGCUAACGCAUUAAGCACUCCGCCUGGGGAGUACGACCGCAAGGUUGAAACUCAAAGGAAUUGACGGGGGCCCGCACAAGCGGUGGAGCAUGUGGUUUAAUUCGAAGCAACGCGAAGAACCUUACCAGGUCUUGACAUCCUUUGACCACUCUAGAGAUAGAGCUUCCCCUUCGGGGGCAAAGUGACAGGUGGUGCAUGGUUGUCGUCAGCUCGUGUCGUGAGAUGUUGGGUUAAGUCCCGCAACGAGCGCAACCCUUAUUG
rnacentral:rRNA from 1 species